rnacentral:tRNA from 1 species
GUGCCGGUGGUGUAAUGGCGUAGAGCAUUCCCGCCCGGUCAGAGGGAGGUGCGGGUUCGAAUCCCGUCUGGCGCU